GCAGGGAUUCUGCAGACACACACACCAACACACACUUGGAGCGCUAUUCCAGAGCCGAGGAGCUCUGUCCCGAGUCAAGAACAGGGGAUGACCGACAAUCCACAAUGGGUUGGCUGUAUUUACCGUCUACCUCCUCAGUGCAUGCGGUGGCUUUGUGGAUGCCGGCUCCCUCCGCUUCAGGCAAGAUACUGCUUCAAACUCGACAGCGUAUCAAGGCUUUCCACGAUGAGGUUCACCUCUGCUGUGACCUUGCUGCUUCCAGUGCAGCGGCAGCCGGCACAGUACAGUAGAUCGUGAUCUGGUGCUUUUCGGCCUGGACAGCCUGGGGUGAACUGCCCUGAUCGAGAUGGAGGGAGGAGGAAGAGGGUGGAGAGAGAGGAG